UAGUCCUAGCCCUAAACGAUGGAUGCUAGGUGUGGGACCGUAGCGGUUCUGUGCCGUAGCUAACGCGAUAAGCAUCCCGCCUGGGGAGUACGGCCGCAAGGUUAAAACUCAAACGAAUUGACGGGGACCCGCACAAGCAGCGGAGCGUGUGGUUUAAUUCGAUGCUACACGAAGAACCUUACCUGGGUUUGACAUGGACGUGGUAGUGAGUCGAAAGGCAAGCGACCCUUCGGGGAGCGUCCACAGGUGCUGCAUGGCUGUCGUCAGCUCGUGCCGUGAGGUGUCGGGUUAAGUCCCGUAACGAGCGCAACCCUUACCCUUAGUUACAAGUGUCUAGGGGGACUGCCGGCGGAAAGCCGGAGGAAGGUGGGGAUGACGUCAAGUCAGCAUGGCCCUUAUGUCCAGGGCUACACACACGCUACAAUGGGCGGUACAAUGGGCAGCAAACCUGCGAGGGUGAGCUAAUCCCACAAAGCCGAUCUUAGUCCGGAUUGAAGUCUGCAACUCGACUUCA
rnacentral:rRNA from 1 species